rnacentral:rRNA from 1 species
GAUGAACGCUAGCUACAGGCUUAACACAUGCAAGUCGAGGGGUAGCACGGAGGAAGCUUGCUUCCUUGGGUGACGACCGGCGCACGGGUGAGUAACGCGUAUCCUACCUACCCAUUACUCGGGCACAGCCGCUCGAAAGAGUGAUUGAUUCCCUCUAUUUCAUUAGAGUAGAUCUAAUGAUGAAAGAUUUAUCGGUUAUGGAUGGGGAUGCGUAAGAUUAGGUAGUAGGCGGGGUAACGGCCCACCUAGCCGACGAUCUUUAGGGGUUCUGAGAGGAAGGUCCCCCACACUGGUACUGAGACACGGACCAGACUCCUACGGGAGGCAGCAGUGAGGAAUAUUGGUCAAUGGGCGGAAGCCUGAACCAGCCAAGUAGCGUGAAGGAUUACAGCCCUACGGGUUUUAAACUUCUUUUAUAUAAGAGUAAUGUGCACUACGUGUAGUGUAUUGCAAGUAUUAUAUGAAUAAGCAUCGGCUAACUCCGUGCCAGCAGCCGCAGUAAGAC